rnacentral:tRNA from 1 species
GACGUCGCCGGCCGGCCUGGGAGGCGCCGCGCUUCCCGGUCGGGGUCUCGCCGCGGGAUCUGCGGCCGGGCUCCGGCUCCUGGGCGGUGUCU